ACCUAGUGAUGUGGGCAUUUACGGAGCAGGUCCCUAAAGCGCUCCUAAGUCUCAAAAAAGAAUUCCCCAUCAAUCUGUCAAAAACUUGUGAUGGCUCUCUAAAGCU